GAUGAACGCUGGCGGCGUGCCUAAUACAUGCAAGUCGAGCGAACGGACGAGAAGCUUGCUUCUCUGAUGUUAGCGGCGGACGGGUGAGUAACACGUGGAUAACCUACCUAUAAGACUGGGAUAACUUCGGGAAACCGGAGCUAAUACCGGAUGAUAUUUUGAACCGCAUGGUUCAAAAGUGAAAGACGGUCUUGCUGUCACUUAUAGAUGGAUCCGCGUUGCAUUAGCUAGUUGGUAAGGUAACGGCUUACCAAGGCAACGAUGCAUAGCCGACCUGAGAGGGAGGUCGGCCACACUGGAAGUGAGACACGGUCCAGACGCCUGCGGGGGGCAGCAGUAGGGAAUCUUCCGCAAGGGGCGAGAGCCGGACGGAGCAACGCCGCCUGAAUGAUGAAGGUGUUCGGAUGGUAAAGCUCUGUUAUUAGGGAAGAAAAAAAGUGUAAGUAACUGUGCACAUCAUGACGGUACCUGAUCAAAAAGCCACGGCUAACUACGUG
rnacentral:rRNA from 1 species